rnacentral:rRNA from 1 species
AUUGAACGCUGGCGGCAGGCUUAACACAUGCAAGUCGAGCGAGCGGCGGACGGGUGAGUAAUGUCUGGGAAACUGCCUGAUGGAGGGGGAUAACUACUGGAAACGGUAGCUAAUACCGCAUACCAUCAGAUGUGCCCAGAUGGGAUUGGCUAGUAGGUGGGGUAAGGGCUCACCUAGGCGACGAUCACUAGCUGGUCUGAGAGGAUGACCAGCCAGAGUGGAAAUGAGACACGGUCCAGACGCCUACGGGAGGCAGAAGUGGGGAAUAUUGAACAAUGGGCGAAAGCCAGAGGCAGCCAGGCCGAGUGUGUGAAGAAGGCCUUCGGGGUGUAAAGCACUGUCAGCGAGGAGGCGUUACUCGCAGAAGAAGCACCGGCUAACUCCGUGCCAGCAGCCGCGGUAAUAC